AGAGUUUGAUCCUGGCUCAGGACGAACGCUGGCGGCGUGCUUAACACAUGCAAGUCGAGCGGAAAGGCCCUUCGGGGUACUCGAGCGGCGAACGGGUGAGUAACACGUGAGGAACCUGCCCUGGACUUUGGGAUAACCCUCGGAAACGGGGGCUAAUACCGAAUAUGACUACUGAUCGCAUGGUUGGUGGUGGAAAGUUUUUCGGUCUGGGAUGGUCUCGCGGCCUAUCAGCUUGUUGGUGGGGUAAUGGCCUACCAAGGCGACGACGGGUAGCCGGCCUGAGAGGGCGACCGGCCACACUGGGACUGAGACACGGCCCAGACUCCUACGGGAGGCAGCAGUGGGGAAUAUUGCACAAUGGGCGGAAGCCUGAUGCAGCGACGCCGCGUGAGGGAUGACGGCCUUCGGGUUGUAAACCUCUUUCAGCAGGGACGAAGCGCAAGUGACGGUACCUGCAGAAGAAGCGCCGGCCAACUACGUGCCAGCAGCCGCGGUAAGACGUAGGGCGCGAGCGUUGUCCGGAUUUAUUGGGCGUAAAGAGCUCGUAGGCGGUCUGUCGCGUCUGGUGUGAAAUCCCAUGGCUCAACUGUGGGCUUGCAUCGGGUACGGGCAGACUAGAGUGCUGUAGGGGAGACUGGAAUUCCUGGUGUAGCGGUGGAAUGCGCAGAUAUCAGGAGGAACACCGAUGGCGAAGGCAGGUCUCUGGGCAGUUACUGACGCUGAGGAGCGAAAGCAUGGGGAGCGAACAGGAUUAGAUACCCUAGUAGUCC
rnacentral:rRNA from 1 species